GGACGUGUUCUGAUUUUUCUUGUGGGAAUCGCUAAUAGUCAUAUAAAAAUCAGUUAGGAAACAAAAUUGAAGCCGGACACACUGCGCCGUACGACUAUCGUAUACGACAACGACUAUCGGCAGACGAAACCAUAUCCAUUUUGUUUGAGUGCAUAACUACACGACGAAAUCUGACUGUCAGUGACAGCAAAGAGUGGGGAGAGCGGGGCUAGUUGCAUCGGGGAGAAGUGGCAUCACAGGGGUUUUCUUUAAAUAUGAACAUUUUAGGCUCUGGCAACCACACCCACCGUCUAAUAGCACACAAAUGUUUGAAGCGAUCCAGUAAAGCUUGAAUAUUUUAACAAAGAAAUCGUUAUUUUUAUCCAUAUACAACACUUGAACAAUGGUGAGACGAUACAUUUUAAAGAAAAAUAGAGAAAGGACCCAGAACAACUGAAGCGAGCGGCAAGCAAAUUUUUAUUGACCGAGAAACUCGCUGUGCCAAGUGUCGCAUAGUGUGCCAAGUGUGCAUAGCAGUGUAGCAAACUCAACAGAUUAGAGUGAACAGGUUAAAUAAGGGUAUUGGGGCGAUGAUUAUAUAGAUUAUUCCAUUUUUGUUAAGAAAAUUGAAAUUCCUGCUUUAGAACACACGCCAUAAUGUUAUUUUUUUCUUGGGUAAUUAUCAAAUGUUAUAGUAUUGAGGUUGGCCUUCAAAAUAUAUUUGGUUGUUUAUGUAAUUCUGCUACUAGAGGUAUUCAGUUGAUAUUAAAAAAGAGAUGUUGAUUUUUUAAUGAUUCAAAUUGCCCCGAUUAAAAAAAAGGUCUCGUAAUUUCGAAAGCUCCGAUGAUGACAGUAUAAUAGAGGCAGUAGAGUAUAUUGGCCCUAACGGCCGCCCAUACGAAAAGAUCUAUCAAGCAAUCAGCACAGGAAAGAUCUAUAAAUAAAUCAGCCGGGUAUUCAUAGAGCUUCUCAUCAGAGCUAAAAUAAUAUUUAACCCUCAAUAUUUCUAUAAAAAUUAACUUAUCUGUUAUGAUUUUACUUUUAGUAGUAGGGGCCUAUGUCAAUCUGAUGUUACCCCUCAGUUAGUUUAGUUGAAAUUGCAUCUACUUUUCAAAAGAUAUUACAAAAUUAUAAAAAAUGAUGCAACCAGCCCCACUAUAGAUUGGAUUCUCACUGGCGAUCGUCGCCGUUGCACGCGCCAGUAGCAUUGCGUUCUUCUUAUUGGAACAGCGUCAGCCGACGGCCGUGUAUAUUGCGGGCCCGGAGCUAAUUACCCAGUUUUAAACCACCCGUGGGGCGAUUUAGCUGCUUUCGUCUGUUCGUCAUUCUCCAUGUAUCUCUGAAAGUUACCAGAGCAGCGGCACCAAAUUUCGCCAUUACUGCCAACAGGUACACACUUUCCGUCAUCAUC